GACGAACGCUGGCGGCGUGCUUAACACAUGCAAGUCGAACGAAGUGGCGAACGGGUGAGUAACGCGUAAUCAACCUGCCCUUCAGAGGGGGACAACAGUUGGAAACGACUGCUAAUACCGCAUACUGAAGGAGGGGAUUGCGUCUGAUUAGCUAGUUGGGGGGGUAACGGCCCACCAAGGCGAUGAUCAGUAGCCUGGCUGGGCGGAUGAACGGCCACAUUGGGACUGAGGCACGGCCCAGACUCCUACGGGAGGCGGCAAGGGGGAAUCUUCCGCAAUGGACGAAAGUCUGACGGAGCAACGCCGCGUGAGUGAUGACGGCCUUCGGGUUGUAAAGCUCUGUUAAGCGGGACGCGGUACCGGAAUAGAAAGCCACGGCUAACUACGUGCCAGCCGCCGCGGUAAUAC
rnacentral:rRNA from 1 species